GGGAUCACCAGGCACCCAGCAACAGUAAUGACUUCGAGAACAGUGAUGUCAGUCAACUUUGACCGUGGUUAAACCAUUCACACAGACAUCACCAGAGGACUAUGUUAAAGCCCUCAUGCACACAGCAAGUGUUGAAGGACAUGUAUGAGGAUGAUUCCAC